UACGGGGGGGAGCAAGCGUUGUUCGGAUUUACUGGGCGUAAAGGGCGCGUAGGCGGCCACUGCAAGUCAGUUGUGAAAUCUCCGGGCUUAACCCGGAAAGGUCAACUGAUACUGCAGGGCUAGAGUGCAGAAGGGGCAACUGGAAUUCUCGGUGUAGCGGUGAAAUGCGUAGAUAUCGAGAGGAACACCUGCGGCGAAGGCGGGUUGCUGGGCUGACACUGACGCUGAGGCGCGAAAGCCAGGGGAGCGAACGGG
rnacentral:rRNA from 1 species